UGUCAGUUUCAGCAUCGGAGGCAUCUUCUUCUUCUUCUUCCUCUUCUUCUUCUUCAUUUAU
rnacentral:sRNA from 1 species